rnacentral:lncRNA from 1 species
CUCAGUACUGGAAAUGGAUUUCUAUCCCCGACUCAAGGUCUCUAAAUUUCAUUCUUUUUCCUUUUUAAGGAAUUGUUACCUUAUCAGCAUUUCAAAAUAGUCAUCUGUUCUGCGCCCGUUCCUCGAAAUUGAGCACUGCAGAUGAUUCCAUGUUUUUAUUGCAUAAACCAUGUGUUAUGGUUGGUCAUAGAUUAAAUUUUGAGUACUAAAUUAGUUAUACUAAACAAACAGGUUUGAGGAGGUGGCAGAGCUUGUGGAUGUGUGUUGGCUUGAAAUCCAUGGCAAAAUUGAGACUCGGAUGCUGUCCCCAUCCACCCUUUACAAAGCUUAUCUUGUAUUCAAGACAACUGCAGAGGCUUCUGGACUUGAGCUCCGCGAUGUGGAGGUCACAGUGGGUUUAAUUGGGGAGAUCACUGAGGCCCAAGACCAGACCAGGGAGAUCAAUGAGGUCCAGUAUCCGAAAGAGCGCAACGACGGGUGGCUGGAGAUAGAGAUGGGGGAGUUCUUCUGUGAAGAGGGUGAAGGUGGGGAGUUGAAGAUGAGUUGCUUGGAGACAAAUGGUCACUGGAAGAGCGGCCUCAUUGUUCAAGGGAUUGAAGUCAGGCCCGAAAGGAUGUAGAAAUCAAGUGGCGGUAGAUUACUGUCUUUAUAAUUUCAAAAUAUUAUAAUUGAGCUGUUUUCAAAUGCUAAAUGUUGCAAUUGAAGUGAGUCAUGUCAAUGUCCUUAGUCAAUUGCUUCAUUUGUUGUAAUGUUUGUGUUCGAUUGAGCACAAAUCUUUAUGAUCUUUGUGCUCAAUCGCUUCGUAUGUCUAAACUUUUAGCAUAAUCUAAUAUACUGUUAUAAGCGAUAUUCUUACUUUGAGCUACAUUAAACAUGUUCGCCCCUAAGGAGAAAAUUGUUGCCCUAAAGUUGCAUUCUUUUCAUUUUUCAAUCAAGUUCGUUCAAGCCGACAAUGUUACUAAAACUAUGGUAUGAGCCACCAUUACGUGAGCCCAAAAGCAAAGAAAGACCACUUAACAUGUUGCUGCAAAAGUAAGUUCAAAUCCAUACAAUGUCAACUUAUGGGUUUAGUUUAUAACAACAAGUACCUAAAGUUUUAAAAGUUGAAUAUUCGUUCGGCCACCAGCAUUAAGUGAUGCAUAAAGUUUUAAAAACUGAACAUUGGUUAGAUCAUAAGCGUUAAGUGAUGUUCUUGACAAGUAUGGAAGCAAGAUUUCACUCUCAUGUCACUUAUACAAAUCUAAAUCUCGAAACUGAUUCUUUUUAACUAGAUAAAGGAUUUAACUUAAUUAAAUGACAUAGAAGUUGAUGAUUUGAUUAUUAUUUAAGCGUUGAUAAAUAUGUUAUUUUUAUUAGUGACACAUUAUUUACUUUGUAAAUUUUAUCUAUAAAUUUAGUCUUCGUAACAUUAUUCAUUUUUCCAACCAAAUUGCGCUUUUUAAAAGUAGAAAUGCUAGAAAGAGAGAAUAAAAGAGAGAACGUGAGCGUGGGAGAGAGGAAAAGAAGUUUAAAAAAAAAAUUUAAUGAUUAAAAUCACCUUCGUCUGUUGAUGAUGUUUAAAUAAAAAAUAAUAAAAUUUUACUUUAUUAAAUUAUAUUAUUGCCUUUUUUUUUCAUUUUUAACUUGUACCCAUAUAUUAGUUUCUUUUUGUGUAUAUAUUUUUUAAAGUUUUGUUUGUGUUUGUACCAUAUCUAUACCGUCACAUGACGUUAUAUAUUUAUUCAAUGAUAGAAAAAUUACAUAUGGUGUAUUUAUAUUUUAUGCCUAAACUUUGUAUCAUAUAUUUAUAUUUUUAGUUUGUACCCACUUUUAAUUUGCAACAUUAUUUUUAAAUUUGUAGUAUUUUCUUUUUAGUUUUAUUUUGUACCCAUGUAUUAAUUUUUUUAGCGCCUAUAUUUUUAAAAAAUUCACUUGUACUCAUAAUUUUUAAUUUUUUAUCUGUAUCCUAAUUUAUUUAUAAUGUACACAUUCUUCUUUAUUAAUGUACCACUUUGUUAUAUGUGAAAUGUACCAAUUUUUUUGUAAAAUGUACCAAUUUUUUUAACACUAUGGAUACAUUCUUUUGCUAUUUAUUAUUUUUUAUUUUUACAUAGUUUUUAUCCAUUUAUUCAAUCAAAAUGUUUGAAUUUUUUUAUUGUAAUCGUUUCUAAUAGUAUUAUAAUGAGGAAUUUUAAAUUUAUAAGAUUAUAAAUCUCAUAAAAUAUCAAAUAAUUAAUGUCAAAGUUAUAAAAAUAUAAAUAUUAAUAGUAAUAUAAUAAAGUUUAUAAAUAUUAAUAAAAAUAUAAGAUUAUAAUAACGUUAUCCUUUCACCGACUAGAAUUAAGGGCUAAGCUUCCUGGCUAAGCUUUCCUCCCUAUAUAAACCACCACCGCUAGCAAUCAGAAAACAUGUCUAAACAAAUUACAAGAACCAGAAGAAAACACAUGGAUCUGCAGGCCUUGCCGGAAGGGUGCAUAGCCACCGUUAUCUCGCUGACCACGCCUCGAGACGCGGGCACGUUGUCCUCGGUUUCGUGGAGUUUCAGGUCGGCAGCGGAUUCCGACGCCGUCUGGGGCAGGUUCCUUCCCCCCGAUAUCCACACUAUCCUGUCAUCCUCGUCACCCUCCAUGUCCGUACAGCCGCCGCACGUGGGUCCCUCCUCCGCUUCAAAAACGAAGAAGGAGCUUUACCUCGCUCUGUGCGACAACCCAGUUCUCAUCGAACAGGGCAAGUUGGUAAUUUCACUACUUUUCUCCAUUUUCUCUUGUUUUGUGGAAUUUAUUUGAUUUUAAGAGGUGUUUGAUAAUUAUUUAGAUUUUAGUCUUCCGCUUAGUGUUUGAAAAUUCAAGAAAAUAGUUUUUAAUUUUUUCUUUUUUAAUCUUAAUAUUUUUUUUAUACAAUGAUAUAUUACACUAAGAGAUGUGGAGAUCGACUAAGCCUCACAAUAAAGAAUGUAUUUUGGUAUCGAAAUCGUUAUUCAUCCACGAGAUGGACUUCAUAAGUCAAAAGUUUUAAGUUCGAAUCUUGAAUCGGAAAGUACCAAGUCUGAAACUUUGGGGGCCGGAAAGAUCGUAAGUAUUGUUGUUGGCCGGGGAGAGAGUGAGUAAGCGGUGGGACCAAAUAUCUAGUGUACAUUUGUUGGUGUGAAUAUUUAGAAAAGUGACCAAAUAAAGGAGAAAAUUUUAGUUGUGACGGAAAUACGGAUAGUACAUUUAUGAAAAUUUAAAAUUUAAAAUUUAAAAUUAUUAACUUUUUAACACACAUAUUUCAUUUAACACAUAUUCCACCGUACCGCCUCGUGUGAUGGUCACACUAAAAAAUGUCUUGCAGAAAGACUAGAAAAACUGAGUUAGAAAUUAGAAUGCAUUCUAUUGGUUUGGUUUUUGUCUUUUCUUUUCAAAGAUCCUGAGUGUUAAUUGGCAUGAUAAUGCAGAGCUUUUCACUGGACAAAUGGAGUGGGAAGAAAUGCUAUAUGAUUGCUGCAAGGGCCCUUUCCAUCGUUUGGGCCGACACUCCUCAGUACUGGAAAUGGAUUUCUAUCCCCGACUCAAGGUCUCUAAAUUUCAUUCUUUUUCCUUUCUAAGGAAUUGUUACCUUAUCAGCAUUUCAAAAUAGUCAUUUGUUCUGCGCCCGUUCCUCGGGGACUGCAGAUGAUUCCAUGUUUUUAUUGCAUAAACUAUGUGUUAUGGUUGGUCAUAGAUUAAAUUUUGAGUAUAAGUUAAUUAUACUAAACAAACAGGUUUGAGGAGGUGGCAGAGCUUGUGGAUGUGUGUUGGCUUGAAAUCCAUGGCAGAAUUGAGACACGGAUGCUGUCCCCAUCCACCCUUUACAAAGCUUAUCUUGUAUUCAAGACAACUGCACAGGCUUAUGGAUUUGAGCACCGCGCUGCGGAGGUCACAGUGGGUUUAAUUGGGGAGCAGCGCACGAAUCAAAAUGUGUUUCUGGGCGCUCGGAGAGUCCAGACCCGAGGCCAGGGCUAUCACAUGGCCAGGCCUCGGGGUAUUCGCCGAACAUACAUUCUAGACCAGCCCAGGGAGAUCAAUGAGGCCCAGUACCCGAAAGAGCGCAACGACGGAUGGCUGGAG